rnacentral:rRNA from 1 species
AUGGCUAUUGCUUACAAGCUAUUUGCUCACUCUUUUUCUUUGCUUAAAAGCUUAUUCUCUUUUUUUUGUAUGGCCAAUUUUGCACAAUGCACAAACCAAGAUAGCAAUUGUGUAUAUGCGGGAACAAACUUGUGA